ACAAUUUUUAGCGAACGACUUUACAUUCUGUGUAAAAUUCGCUUACCAGGACUAAUAAGUAGAGUAAUUAAAACUGUUUUCUUUAUACGUGUAAACAGUACGAGUGAGAAACCGUAAAACACUUUUGUUUUUAUGAUUUAAAAUGUUUUUCUUACUUAUAAUUUUACCAUCAGAGGAUUUUGUAUUUCUGGCGAUUCGUGACAUUGUGUGUGAGCUGGGUAUAGAUCAAGAUUCAAGAAUUGCAGGCCUUCACAGAUAUCAGUGCAACAGGGGACAACUUUGUUUACCAGGAGACAACAGGAACUGAAGAGAAGUUACAAGUAUACACGAAAGCCCCACACAUCAAUACCUGCUGUUUGAUUCUCUACACCCAUUGCAGUACCAAUUAGGUGUCUUCAGGACACUACACCACAGGGCAGAAAGCAGCUCUCCCUCGACAGAAGCCAAGACAAAAGAAAAUCAACUGAAGGCAGCUCUUAAGGCAUGUGGAUACCCUUAGGAGGUUUUAAACAAGACCGCUACUAGCAGAAGGAUUGCAGCCAGAGCCAAUUGAACAAACCUCUACAUGACUGGAGUAUCUAAGAAACUCAUGCACCCAAAAGAUCUGACCUUGUAAAAGCAUGAGGAGCAAUAUGAUAUUCUUGGUCCAGUUCAGUGAAGAGUGUUAAGAGCUCUGCAUUGGAGAGACAAAAGCCUCAACACUUUGUGGACUUUUCAGGACUGCCACAACACCCGCUAUCACAACCGGACCUGUACACAAUUGCACAUUUUAACAGUAUGACAUGUCUGUAUUCACACGUUACUGUACCUUAUUCAGUACUACCUUUUUUUCUUAAUGUCAUACUGUGUUUUUGUAUGUGACAAAUAAAACUUUAAUUUGAAAGUU